UAUUGCGCAAUGGGGGCAACCCUGACGCAGCCAUGCCGCGUGAAUGAAGAAGGCCUUCGGGUUGUAAAGUUCUUUCGGUGAUGCCCCCCCCAGGAUGUUUAAAUAGGGCAUUCAAUUGACGUUAAUCACAGAAGAAGCACCGGCUAACUCCGUGCCAGCAGCCGCGGUAAUACGGAGAGUGCGAGCGUUAAUCGGAAUAACUGGGCGUAAAGGGCACGCAGGCGGAUAAUUAAGUGAGAUGUGAAAUCCCCGAGCUUAACUUGGGAAUUGCAUUUCAUACUGGUUAUCUAGAGUCUUGUAGAGUGGGGUAGAAUUCCACGUGUAGCGGUGAAAUGCGUAGAGAUGGGAGGAAUACCGGAGGCGAAGGCGGCCCCUGGACGGGGGCUACGCUCGGGCGGGG
rnacentral:rRNA from 1 species